ACCUUUUCCUUCGUGUUUCAGAAUUUUUGUGGGAACUUGGAAUGUUGCUGGAAGAUCUCCUGUAGGAAGUUUAGCUGUUGAUUUAGAAGAGUGGUUGAAACCCCAGGAUGCUGCUGAUAUCUAUGUUCUCGGGUAUGAAACAAGUCAGAAAAAUUAAGAAUCAUGUAAUGCUAUAGCCUAUUCAUAAUCAAAAGAAAGAGUUAAUUCACUAAGUUGACAUAAAAAAUUGCUGACCUUCAGAUUUCAAGAGAUCGUACCAUUGAAAACUCGAACCGUGAUCGGAGUUGAAGAUCCGACUGAAGCAACAAAUUGGAACUUGUUAAUAGGAAAAACACUUAAUGAAAACUUUGGUUGCCC
rnacentral:lncRNA from 1 species